GGUCUGAGUACGGCCUAAAUCAAUGAAGUCAUUGCUCAAUAUGAAAGUGAUGAUUUUGAUGGCAGUUACGUCUCAUUUGGCUGACACGCAGCAGGGACAUCUUCCUGCCAUUGGCCACGUCAAGCUGCGCAAGCGUGUUCGCUGCCGAAGUUGCCCAUCUAGAGACGACCACAAGACGAACACAGCAUGUUUGCGAUGCAACGGGCCCGUCUGCCUACAGCAUCAAACUGUCUUGUGUCCGAAGUGUGUGCCUCGUACGUAGGUAGCAAAUUUGGCCGUCGCACUUGUCGUGGGUGGGACCCCAUUUACUGAACAUAUCCAUUAGGUAGCAAAUUUGGCCGUCGCACUUGUCGUGGGUGGGGGCCCAUUUACUGUAUAUAUCAAUUAGAUUUUGACCUCUAUGGGUCCGACACCUUUUCUGGCUGUGGAGACUUGUAAAUUGUAGUUUUAGGAAGGAUUCCCUCAAUUUAUUUUCUUAUAUAGGAU